UGUCUAGUAAACAGUUAGAGUCGUUGAAAAACAUGGACGGGUUCAUGUCGGCGGUACCUAAUAAAAUGCUAAGCCUCCACACUACUCGGAGUCCAUUGUUUCUUGGCUUAACAGGGAUGAAAGGUGAAAAAGGACCAUGGAGUGGUUCUAAUUUACAUUCCGAUGUAAUAAUCGGCGUGGUGGAUAGUGGGAUAUGGCCGGAACAUGUUAGUUUCCAAGACCAUGGGUUGUCUCCGGUACCGGAAAGAUGGAAGGGUGUUUGUGAAAACGGCACUAGAUUCUCACCGUCCAAUUGUAACAAAAAACUAAUCGGUGCUCGUUAUUUCUACGGCGGGUAUAUAGCCGCUGGUGGGAAAAUCAAUGACAAGGAAGAAUAUAAAUCCGCAAGAGAUGUAUCCGGACAUGGCACACAUACGGCUUCGACGGCCGGUGGGGACAUUGUCGAAAAUGCGAAUCUUUUCGGUUUAGCUAAUGGUACGGCGACCGGAAUGAGGUACACGGCGAGGAUCGCGGCGUAUAAAGUAUGUUGGCCGGGGUGUACUAGUGUCGAUAUCUUAGCAGCUAUGGUGAAAGCUAUUGAAGAUGGUGUCGAUGUAUUGACACUUUCGUUAGGAUCCGAGUCCGAGGCCGUGCCGUAUUGGCAAGAUUACCUUGUUAUUGCAUCGUAUUUGGCUUUUAAAAGUGGGAUUUUCGUUGCCUUUAGUGCAGGUAAUAGUGGGCCGGACGCGUACACCGUAGUUAACACCGCGCCAUGGAUCAUGACUGUAGCGGCUAGUACUAUGGACCGAAGCUUCGUGGCGAUUAUCGAACUUGGAAACGGAGAAACUUUCGAAGGGUCGUCGUUUUAUACUGGUAAGGCCUUAAAGGGAUUACCAAUUGUGUAUGGCAAAACAGCAGGGAAUUUAGGUGCUGAAUAUUGCCUCUCUGGGUCACUUGAUCCUAAGCUUGUGAAAGAAAAGAUUGUGAUUUGCGAACAAGGAAUAGUGCGACGGGCCGAAAAAGGUGAGGCCGUAAAAUCGGCCGGGGGAGCUGGGAUUUUAAUACUAAGCCCCGAAGGUGAAGAUCUUGCCAAUGAGGUGCACGUUUUGCCGGACAUUUUUCUAGGAGCCAUAGCCAGUAAAGCUGUAAUCAAUUAUUGGAACACAACUAAAGCACCAACAGCUUCCAUUGUGUUCAAAGGCACAAUGUAUGGUAACCAAGCACCGAAAGUCGCGGCAUUUUCAUCCCGAGGACCGAAUUUAGUUGGACCGGACGUGAUCAAACCAGAUAUAACAGCACCAGGAGUCGACAUACUAGCAGCAUGGCCGGCCGAAACGAGUCCAAGCAGGCUUAAAUCUGACAAAAGACGGGUAUUAUUCAACAUAAUUUCGGGUACAUCGAUGUCAUGCCCCCACGUUAGUGGCAUUGCCGCGCUGAUUAAAUCGAAGCACAAAGAUUGGUCCCCAGCAGCAAUCAAAUCUGCACUCAUGACAACUGCAUAUACAUUAGACAACAAAGGAAAACCAAUAGCCGAUCUCGCGUUUUACAACUCGGCAUCACCUUUUGCUAUCGGUUCGGGUCAUGUCGAUCCCAUGAAAGCUACCGAUCCCGGUUUAAUAUACAACAUUACCGCCGAGGAUUACAUAAGUUACUUGUGUAGCUUGCACUAUACCGAUUCUCAAGUAUCCAUGUUCGAAGAAGGUUAUCAAUGUACGCCGACUGAACUAAGGAUGCAACCCGGUGACUUGAAUUACCCGUCUUUCGCCGUGAAUUUCAAACAAAAGGCUCGGAAUGUUACGUUUACAUACAAAAGGACUGUCACAAAUGUUGGGAUACCUAAAAGUACAUACAAAGUAUCAGUUGAAGUACCCAAAGGAGUAUCUGUGAUUGUGAGUCCUAAAGUUUUGAGUUUUACUGAGUUGAAUGAGGAACUGAGUUACGAAGUGAGCUUUACUGGACUGAGUCGAAACAAAACGGUAGCUGGCUCAUCAUUUGGAUCCUUAGUGUGGGUUUCUGGUAAUUACAGAGUUCGAAGUCCCAUUGCAGUGAGUUGGAAAUAGCCAUUUGCCUAUGUCCCAUAGUGGUUCAAAAUCCUUGAGAUGAAUUGCAAGGACUCUCCUUUACUUUUUAAAAAAAAAAUAAUUUAACCCAAAUUUGAUCUUUAAAUUUGGAUGUAUGCUUGUUGAAGGGACUAAAGACAAUUUUAAAUUGGCAUAAUGAUAAAUUUAGCUCUUAAUUUUUAUAUUUUUUUAUCAAUUUGGCCAGGGGUGAAGCCAAGAGGUAUGCGAUGAGAGAACUGAGAUAAAAAAAAAAAUUGACGGGGUCAAAGCUAGAAAAAUUGUAUUAAAAUGACUUGAAUUAAAAUUUAAGCUUUUAAAAAUGGUCAAAAUUGCUGUUGUUCCAUUUAAAGAAAAGCUAAAAGGGACUAAAUUGAACAAUUGAUAUUUGAGAGGCCCUAUAGUCAUAAUUAUACUAUUGGGCAAAGGCCCUGAAUUUAACCCUUAUUGUAUUUAACUGAUUUUGGUCCUAGAUUUCCUACAAAUAUUCAAGUUUGAUUAUCAAUCUUGAUUUGUUUUUUAACAAAAAUACACAAAACUUAACUUUUUAAACAUUACAGGGCGCAUAGUAAUCUGGGCGUGUUUUAUGCUAAUUUUUUAAUUUUAUCAACUUUUUAUAAUUUUUUUUAAAUUCUUAAAAAUUUUUAAAUAAUUUGUUGAUGUCAGCAUGAAGUAUAAGUAAACUGCCACAUACAUUCUCACGCCAAUAUUGUUAAAAUAUUAAUGUUUUAGUUAGUAUGUUCGUUAUAAAAAGUAAUUUCUCUUUUCAAAAGGUUAAUGGCCGAAUUUAGUUAAAAAAACAAAUAAGGGUCAAAUUGACAAAAGAUGUCAACAUUGAUGGCCAAAUUUGUCAUUAUGCCUUUUAAAUUUUUACUCAAGAUAUCGAGUCCAAGAAUAUUUUUUUAGGUCAAUUUUUACUAUUAAUCUUUAUAUCAUAGGUAAGUUAGGGAUUUAACUCUUUUACUCUAAUUUGAUCAAUUUUGGUUCAUGUGCUUUUAAACUUUCAAUUUAACUCAAACGGUAAUAGCUACACCGUUUAAGUCAAAUUUUGCUGAUAAUCUCUUUUUAUGCAUUAAUUGUGAAUUUAGUCUCUAUUCAUCGAUUUAAUUAUUUUUAGUUUAUAUAUAUAUUUUGAAAUUUGAAAUUUUAAUAUUGACCCAAACAAUAGCCAUAUGUAACUCAUUAAUUAAAAUAAGGCGGUGUUUUAAGAUAUUAACUAAACUUGAAGGAUUAAAUAUCAAAUUUCAAUUGAAUAGAGUGAUUAAAACUAGAAUUAGACCAUAAUAAAGCUAUCCGUGUUUGUAGCCAAAUUGAAUCCAAUGAGGCGAGGAUCGAUCCUAGCAUCAGUUUGAAGCAAGGAUGUCAUUAUCAAAUAGGAGUUUAAGGUAUAAAAGAUUUUAUGAAAAUUGUUUUUUUUUUUAUAUCUUUCCAUGUUUAUUUCACAGAAAUCAGUUUGGUCAACGGAAAAUAAGUCUUUUUUUCAGUAAAAUGAUUUACCCUUCUGAAAAACAAACGUAAGUCAUUUUUCGAAAAAGAGCUCAUCUAUAGAUAAUAUUAUUUUUAUAUAAAAAUUAACUUAAAUCAAGCUUAAUAUUAUUAUAUUAAUAAGAAUUUUUAUUUUUAUUUUAAAAAUAUUUAAAAUUAUUAAAAUAUUAAUAUAAAAUAUUAUAUUUUUCAAUAUUAUUAAACAUACCUAUUUGAUUAUUUAUAUUUAGUCAUAUAAUAAAUUAUUAAUAUAAUUUAUUAUUUUAAUAAAUAUUUCAAUUUUAUUUAAUAAUAAAUUUUAAAAAUAAUAAUUUUAAAUAAUAUUCAUCACAUAUUAUUGAAAAUAUUCAACAUAAUAUUUUAAAUAAUAAUAAAUAUUUAUUACAAUUAUAAAUAUAUUAAUAGGAAAUGUUUUGUAGUAUAAAGGUUAAAAUAUGUCAUAAGUCUCUAUGUACUCUUCACAAAUUUGCAAUUUAGUCUCUGUACUUUUAUUUUCAAGAAUUUAGUCCCUCUACUUUUUAGAUUUGAAAAUCAAGUCCAAUUGUUGGCAUUGUUAAAUUUCUUUUGUCAAUUUUGUUGAUAUCACAUUUUUAAAUAAAAAAUACUCACUUGGUAAUCAUGUAACUAAAAAAUGACGUUGUAAUAAACCUAAAUUUAACAAAAUAUUUUAAUAUAUGCAAAAAUAAUAUAAAAUAUGAAAUUAUAGAUAUAAAAUAAACUCAAUUAAACAAUUAAAAAAUAAGAAAAUCUCGAAUGUAUGUUUGUUUCAUUGAAAAAAAAAUUUAUAAAAUAUUUUUAAGAAAUCUGUCAAACAACAGAAAAUAUUUUACACAGAUUCAUCCAAACACUAGAAAAGAUUUAGCUUUUCUAGAAAUUGUUUUUUAGAAGUCAUUUUCGGUGAAACAAACGGAGCCUAAAGUUAAAGGGAUAAAGUCAUAUUUAGUCCCUAAGUUUGGUAAAUUUUCUUACUUUGGUUCUUGAAUUUUUUAUCACAUUAGUUUUUAACUGAAUUUAUUUUCUCAAUUUAGUCUCAGAAUUCGGAUUCUGUUAAAAUAUGAUGAAAUCAGUUUAAGAAUCAAAGUCUAAAUUAGGAUUAUUAUGAACAAAAAUAAAUUUAAGGAUUAAAUUGAAAAAAAAUACUAAACCCUGGGAAGACGAAAAAAAGCUGAUAAAGUACGAAUUAUCAAAUAAUUUGGUCCAUGAUUGCGGGUCUUGGGGUGCUUACGGUUGACUACAAGAGUGCUUUUUACUGUAAAAUAUUCCUACUUUUUGAACUGCGUUCAUAUUUCUUUUAAUCAAGAAAGAACAAAAGAAAAACUAAAUUUGGAAGAGUAAACUACUGCGUUACUAAACUAUUAAUAAGUUCACAUUUUUGCCAUUUAUUUUUAAAAAAUUAUAAAAUAAUCACUAAACUAUUCAAAAAUUUCCAUUUAAGUUUUUGGGUUGUUAAAAUUGUUGUUAUAUAACCUUCACUAUUCGCAUCGUCUGCACUAAUCAAAAACUCACAUUCCGCUUCUCUUUUACAGUUGAAUUUUUUUCAUGAAAUAACUUUGAACAUUAUGAAUUUAUAAACCAAAUUUCAAAUAUCUUUUUCCUUCGAUCUUGACACUAAUCAUCAAAUCUAAAGUUGGCAAACAGGCGCGCUUGGGCGAGCUUACUUCGGAUUUAGGUUUUUUAGAGAUUGGAUCAACUUGAGCUCGGGAUUUCUCGGGCUUGGAUUGAUCCGAACGAGCUUUGACUGAUUCAGAUAAUUUUGAAUUUUGUAAGUUAAAUAUUUUAAUUUUCAAUGUAAUAAUUCAUUUUACUUUUAUACAAUGACAACAUAAUUCAAAUUUACCUUAAAAAAUAUAAAUUAUGUAUCUUUAAUAAAUUUAUUUUAUAUAAAAUAACUAAAGUGCUUAUUGUAGGUAAAAUUUAUUGUUUUAUAAUAUUAUAUGAAUUAACGAAAAUAUCUUUUAUUGUUCAUUAUAUUAUAUUAUAUUAUAUUGACAAUUGAAUAAAUUUUUUUAUCUUUCUUAUUAAAUUUAUAAACUUAAUACUCAUAUUCCAAAAUAUUUAUUCCAAAACUCAAAUAUAUUACACUAAGCUAGACCUGUUUAUGGGCUAGGCUACCUGCCCAGACCCGAAGGCCUGUCCGAAAUUUGAGAGGGUAUGAGUAAAAAUAUUAGUCCUAAAAGUGAGCUUCGGCAAAAAAGAUAAGCUCGUUUAAAAUAUGGGUCAAGUUUGAGCUUGAACAUUCAAGGUUUGAGCCUCAAGCCCAAGCCUGUCCCAUCCUGUUUUUAAUUUUAUAAUACUUUAUAUUAUGGUAUUUUUAUAUAUUAUGUAAUUUAUAACACAUUAAAAAAAUAAAUCUAUACUAAAUAUAUAAUAUUACUCUAAUGUAAACAUUAAAAUAAUGUUAAAUGACUAUAUAAAAAAUUUCAAUAAAUUAAAAAGAUAUUAAAAUAAAAUAAUAUAAAUAUUUUUAAAAAAUUAAUAUGGACGGGUCUAAAAUGGGCUUGGACAAAAUUUUAAGCCUAUAGUUUAGGUUAGGCUAGGACAAACAUAUGCUUAGGCCCAGCCUGAAUCCGAUCCUGCCCAUAAACACUUCUAAACUAAGCUCAAACUGAAAUAAAUAAUAUAUUUAUUAUUACCUAAACUCAAAAUAAACUAAUUAUAGUUAAAAUCUCAAGUCCAAAAUAAAAAGAAAUUAAACUUAAUAUCUAAAUAAAAUUUGUAAAAGUUAAAGCUGAAUUCAAAAUUUAAUUUUAAAAAAUAAUAUUUUAUGUAUUGUUAUAAUAUGUUAAUUAUUAAUGUAAUAGUAUAUAUUAAUUUGUUAUAAUGUUUUAUCAUAUAGUACAUAAUAUAUUAAUAAUAUAUAUGCAUCAAUGAUUAAAUAUUAUAAUAUCAUGUAAUAUUAUAUAUUUUAUUAUAAUCUUUGAUAUAAUAAUAGUUAUGUAUAAUAGUAGUACAUUAUUAAUCAAUUAUUAUAUACUAUUGUUUAUUAUUAUAUUGGUUGAAAUAUGUUCUAAGUCCCUAUACUUUUAAUACAUUUGAAAGUUAGCCUUCCUACUAUAUUAUAUAAUGUUAUAUCAUAUCAUGCAGUAUACAAUAUAUUAAUAGUUUAUAUAUAUGCAUCAACGAUUAAACAUUAUAAUAUGACGUAAAACUAUAUCUUUAAUUACAAUCUAUAAUAUAAUAAUAGUUAUAUAUAAUAGUAGUACAUUAUAUAUUAUUGUUUAUAAUGAUACUGGUUGAAAUAUGUUCUAAGUCCCUAUACUUUUCAUACAUUUGAAUAUGAUAUAUCAUAUCAUACAUUAAUAGUUAUACAUUAGGGCCUAAACUUUUUUCUGUCUAAGUUAGUCCUUGAAUUUGACGAUUGUUCCUACAUUGGGGCUUGAACUUAGUAAUUAUUCCCACAUUGGGAUCUAAACUUUAGGGGUUUUGAAAAAAAUAUCAGAGACUAACCUAGAUAAGAAAAAGUUCAGGCUCCAAUAUAAAAACAAUUACUAUGUUCAGAUCCUAAUGUAAGAGAAAUUGCUAAAUUCAAGGAUUGAAAAAUUAUUUAACCUGGAUUUAAUAUUAGUACAAUAUUUUGGUAUUGAAUUUUAUUAUUAAAAUAAUUUUAUUUCAACGUGCUCUAAUAUUUCUUUAAAAGAAAAAAAAAAGAAUAAUUCAAUUGGAAUAUCUUGGACAAUGGAAAUUCUUUGUUGGGAUAUGCAUGUGAACCAUCAUGACGUAGUGAGUGGCUCCUUUGGCAAGAUAUGCACGUGACUCAUUCCGAAAUCACACUACUCCCCACCAAAAUGACCAUCCUUCAAAUUUUAUAAAAUCACAAGUUAAUAUCACCCUUCAAAAAUUAUUAUUUGUUUUUAACCUCCUAAACUAAUUUUCUACUUCUCUAAAAUUUGGUCAUUAUUAUCAAGUCACAUGAGACUUUUUGAUAACAUAUGGCCAUGUUAAGACGUACUUAUAACAUUUAAAUUAUACUACAAAUUUUAUCCUACAUAUAGAAAUUAUGUAUUUAAAAACUAUAUAAUAAAUAAUGAAACGUAUAGUUUGAAAUUAAUUAAUAAUAACACAUGCAAUAUGUACGAUAUUAAAAUGAAAAAAAUUAAAUUGUGAGUAAAAUGGAAUUUAAACACGCAAAUACAUCAGAUUAAGAAUUGUAAAUGCACUGUAAUUAUUUAUAAUGGUUUCAUUAUCAAUCUUGAGUUGAUGUCGAGUUAACUUGUGACACCAACUCAAUCAAUAACAUUAUUAAUACUAAGAAAUUCUAUCACAUGCGUACGUGUGUGGACAUCGAUUCAGUCAGAGAUUUUAUUAAUAGUAUGAAUAUAUAAUUGAUUGAAGUAAUAGAAUGCGCAUAAUAAAAUUAAAAUGUAUAAAAUAAUCAAAAUAAAAUUUAGUUUAGUGGUAAAUUUAAGGUUUUCUCAAUGUAAUUGUCAUAGGUUCAAAUUCUGACAUUUGCAUACUUUUUAUUUUUAUUUUUAAAUUAAAAAGACUAAAGUAAAUAAUAUAAAUUAUUUUAAACAUGGAAGGACAUUUUUAUAAUUUUUCUAAGGUGCCUGAUUGACUCGUGGCACCAAUUAAUCAAAGAUUUUUAUUAAUAGUACAGAUAUAUACAAUAGAUUGAGAUAAUAAAGUGUCCAUAAUAUAAUUAAAUGUACGAAUUAUUUUAAGAUAAAGCUUUGGUUGACUGAUAAAAGUUAAAAUUUUAUUGGUGAAAAUGAUAUAGAUUUAAGUCCCACCAUUUGUUGAUGGCCAAAAAAAAAAAAUCCCACCUUAUGCUUUUUUUUUAUUGUUUUAUAAAAACAAAAACACUUAAGUACCAUUGAAUAAAAUAAUUUAUUUUGGGUUAAAUUUUGUUAUUAGUCUCUUUAUUUUACGAAAGUUGUGGAUUUAGUCCCUAUAUUUUUUGAAUUUAUCAAUUUUAGUCUCUAUACUUUUUGAAUUUUGAAAUUUUAAUCUAGACCAAACAAUAGCAGUUAAGUCUAUUUGGUUAAAUUCAAUUACUAAAUUUGUAGUAUGCAUAUAGUUGUAAAUUUGGUCCAUAUUCUCCAAUUAAAUCAUUCUAAGUCCCUAUACUUUUCAAAAUUUAAAAUUCAGUUUUGACGCAUAUGAUAGUCGUUAAUUCAUUAACUAGAUUUUUAGUUAGUAAUAUGUGGAAAUAAUAAGUUGAUAUAGCAUUUCACAUAUGAUAAUAUGUUGGGCGCAUCAAAUUUUAGAAAUAACAGAACUUAACUUAAUGAAUUUAAUAGUUAUAAUUUUGUGGAUAUUAAAAUUUUAAAAUUUAAAAAAUACAAAAAUUAAAAAUGACCAAAUUAAAAUAAAUGGAUUAUACCCACGACUUUUUCAAAACAUAUAGACUAAUAGUAAAAUUUAACCCAUAUUUUACAUAAAAAAAUAUUUUCGUAAUUAUUUAAAGAUGACAACCAUGCUUUGCUUUCAUGUCUUAUUUGACACCAUAUCCCGAGUUUGAAUCUCGGCAUCCCUUUCUUUACCUUUCAAAUAAAAAUUAAUUAAUUUUUUCAUUAAAAAAAGAUAAAUUAAAUGUAAAGGAUAAAGCACACAUUUUGGAUAUAAUAAAAUAUAGAGGCUAAUUUUUUAUUUUUCAUUAAAAAUAAUGCAUCUAACGCAUCAAUCGAUGGCUCUUAUUCUUUUUCUCUUCUAUAAUUUAACUUUUUUUUCAUGAAAUAGCUUUCUACGUUAUGAAUUUGUAAAAUAAAAUCUAAACAUUUUUCUUCUCUGUUUUUCGAUAUUGACCAUCAAAUUGAAUUAGAUUUAAAGUAUGUUCUUUUACUUGUAUGGAUACUUAUCUAUUGUACAGAUCAUCAAAUUGUGGUUUAAUGUUUAUUAAUUGGAAUAUAAUUUUCUUUUAAAUAAUUUAGUGACUUAAAUGAAAAUUUUAAAAUAGUCUGAGAGGUAUAACUGUUAAGCCUAUCCAUAUCCUAAACAUGCGACAUUAAUAUAGCUUCAAAGCUUUGCCUUAUCCCUAGCAGUAGUUUGACUAUAUGCAGCAUUAACUGUUCAAUUUCUUCAGCUAUCAUGAAGAUCUUGAAUGCUGCAAUAAUGUUGCUGUUACUAGCAUUAAUGGCCGCCAUUUCAACUGCUUCAACCGACAAACAAGCGUAUAUAGUUCGUAUGGACAAGACAAAGAUCACCAACAGUACUUUCAGUUCCCUUGUUAGUAUUACUAAACCAUGGCACCAAGCUGUCCUUGAGUCUUUAGCUGAUGGUGAUGAACUCGAAGCCACACCACCGGAGCUACUGUAUUCCUAUGAAACCGCCUUGUUUGGUUUCGCCGCAAAGCUGUCUAGUAAAUAGUUAGAAUCGUUGAAAAACAUGGACGGGUUCAUGUCUGCGGUACCUGAUAAAAUGCUAAGCCUCCACACUACUCGGAGUCCAUUCUUUCUUGGCUUAACAGGGAAGAAAGGGAAAAAUGGACCAUGGAGUGGUUCUAAUUUACAUUCCGAUGUAAUAAUCGGUGUGGUGGAUAGUGGGAUUUGGCCGGAACAUGUUAGUUUCCGAGACCAUGGAUUAUCUCCGGUACC
rnacentral:lncRNA from 1 species